rnacentral:tRNA from 1 species
AAUUACUGAAUUAAAUAUAAUAUUAAUUUUACUGAUAAGUUAAUUAUUAUAUUAAUUAUUUAAUAAUUA